rnacentral:tRNA from 1 species
GCGCCGGUAGCUCAGCUGGAUAGAGCGCGACACUACGGAUGUUGAGGUCGGGGGUUCGAAUCCUCCCCGGCGCG